rnacentral:rRNA from 1 species
AAAUUGAAGAGUUUGAUCAUGGCUCAGAUUGAACGCUGGCGGCAGGCCUAACACAUGCAAGUCGAACGGUAACAGGAAGCAGCUUGCUGCUUCGCUGACGAGUGGCGGACGGGUGAGUAAUGUCUGGGAAACUGCCUGAUGGAGGGGGAUAACUACUGGAAACGGUGGCUAAUACCGCAUAACGUCGCAAGACCAAAGAGGGGGACCUUCGGGCCUCUUGCCAUCAGAUGUGCCCAGAUGGGAUUAGCUUGUUGGUGAGGUAACGGCUCACCAAGGCGACGAUCCCUAGCUGGUCUGAGAGGAUGACCAGCCACACUGGAACUGAGACACGGUCCAGACUCCUACGGGAGGCAGCAGUGGGGAAUAUUGCACAAUGGGCGCAAGCCUGAUGCAGCCAUGCCGCGUGUAUGAAGAAGGCCUUCGGGUUGUAAAGUACUUUCAGCGGGGAGGAAGGUGUUGUGGUUAAUAACCGCAGCAAUUGACGUUACCCGCAGAAGAAGCACCGGCUAACUCCGUGCCAGCAGCCGCGGUAAUACGGAGGGUGCAAGCGUUAAUCGGAAUUACUGGGCGUAAAGCGCACGCAGGCGGUCUGUCAAGUCGGAUGUGAAAUCCCCGGGCUCAACCUGGGAACUGCAUUCGAAACUGGCAGGCUUGAGUCUUGUAGAGGGGGGUAGAAUUCCAGGUGUAGCGGUGAAAUGCGUAGAGAUCUGGAGGAAUACCGGUGGCGAAGGCGGCCCCCUGGACAAAGACUGACGCUCAGGUGCGAAAGCGUGGGGAGCAAACAGGAUUAGAUACCCUGGUAGUCCACGCCGUAAACGAUGUCUACUUGGAGGUUGUGCCCUUGAGGCGUGGCUUCCGGAGCUAACGCGUUAAGUAGACCGCCUGGGGAGUACGGCCGCAAGGUUAAAACUCAAAUGAAUUGACGGGGGCCCGCACAAGCGGUGGAGCAUGUGGUUUAAUUCGAUGCAACGCGAAGAACCUUACCUGGUCUUGACAUCCACGGAAGUUUUCAGAGAUGAGAAUGUGCCUUCGGGAACCGUGAGACAGGUGCUGCAUGGCUGUCGUCAGCUCGUGUUGUGAAAUGUUGGGUUAAGUCCCGCAACGAGCGCAACCCUUAUCCUUUGUUGCCAGCGGUCAGGCCGGGAACUCAAAGGAGACUGCCAGUGAUAAACUGGAGGAAGGUGGGGAUGACGUCAAGUCAUCAUGGCCCUUACGACCAGGGCUACACACGUGCUACAAUGGCGCAUACAAAGAGAAGCGACCUCGCGAGAGCAAGCGGACCUCAUAAAGUGCGUCGUAGUCCGGAUUGGAGUCUGCAACUCGACUCCAUGAAGUCGGAAUCGCUAGUAAUCGUGGAUCAGAAUGCCACGGUGAAUACGUUCCCGGGCCUUGUACACACCGCCCGUCACACCAUGGGAGUGGGUUGCAAAAGAAGUAGGUAGCUUAACCUUCGGGAGGGCGCUUACCACUUUGUGAUUCAUGACUGGGGUGAAGUCGUAACAAGGUAACCGUAGGGGAACCUGCGGUUGGAUCACCUCCUUA